GAAAUGCGAUAAGUAAUGUGAAUUGCAGAAUUCAGUGAAUCAUCGAAUCUUUGAACGCACAUUGCGCCCGCCAGUACUCUGGCGGGCAUGCCUGUUCGAGCGUCAUUACAACCCUCAGGCCCCCGGGCCUGGCGUUGGGGAUCGGCGGAAGCCCCCUGCGGGCACAACGCCGUCCCCCAAAUACAGUGGCGGUCCCGCCGCAGCUUCCAUUGCGUAGUAGCUAACACCUCGCAACUGGAGAGCGGCGCGGCCACGCCGUAAAACACCCAACUUCUGAAUGUUGACCUCGAAUCAGGUAGGAAUACCCGCUGAACUUAAGC
rnacentral:misc_RNA from 1 species